UAGAGGUCUACCUAUAUGGUUCAAGAUGAUGAUCAUAAGUGCAUGCAUCAUUUUGCAGAUUCUCAUCCAGGAUGAUGCAAUUUUACAAUUUCCAUGGAGGUGAUUGAUGAUGAUAAAUAAUUGGUGAAGUAGGCCUACAAUAGAACAGCGACUAGACCACAAAGAGAAAUACAACCUACAGCAGUUAUAUGAGACUGGUGUAACAGAUGUUUUCAUUCAAGAAAUCCAACAAUUCAACAUUGAAGAGUCUGACUUAGGAACCACUUGAUGAAGAUGGAAAAGGUU